rnacentral:rRNA from 1 species
AAUGGGCGAAAGCCUGACGGAGCAAUACCGCGUGAGGGACGAAGGCUUUUGGGUCGUAAACCUCUUUUCCCUGAGAAGAAGAUCUGACGGUAUCAGGGGAAUCAGCAUCGGCUAACUUCGUGCCAGCAGCCGCGGUAAUACGAGGGAUGCAAGCGUUAUCCGGAAUUAUUGGGCGUAAAGCGUCCGCAGGUGGCUUUGUAAGUCUGUCGUUAAAGAAUGGAGCUCAACUCCAUACAGGCGAUGGAAACUACAAGGCUAGAGUUUGGUAGGGGUCACGGGAAUUCCUAGUGUAGCGGUGAAAUGCGUAGAUAUUAGGAAGAACACCAGCGGCGAAAGCGCGUGACUGGGCCAGUACUGACACUCAUGGACGAAAGCUAGGGGAGCGAAAGGGAUUAGAUACCCC